rnacentral:lncRNA from 1 species
AGGAAGGUAGCGGUCCCUUUUGGGGGGGGGGGGGUGCAAAACAAAACACAGAACAAAUGUGAUUUUGUUUCUUCAACUCAUUCAGCAGUUUACUUGCUUUAUCAGACUGGAAGUGCUGUUUGUAUAUGAACUGUUAAUUUUGAGUCUAAUUGCAAUUAACCGCAGAUGAAAAUAGUUAAUUAAAAAUUAUUACAUUUAAUUAACUUAAAUAAAUACAAUUGUGAUACUAAAAACACUUCCAUCGAGCCACAAGUUCCCUCCGCAAUGUUCAUUAGCGAAGAUGGUUUUAAUCUGUUUCAACAAACAAACAUUUCCGUUUUAAGUUGAGUACCGUGUCUUUUCGAGAGCUCCCAAUUGGCACACGAGAAGGUGUUUGCAUUGCUCUUUAUAUUACAAGCAACCAGGCGACGCAAAUCCAAGAGUGGAAGCUCAAUCAAUACCAAAAGACGUGACCAACAAUCCUCUGGGGUCACUUAAGUAGGUAACUAAAUAUUAAGUACAGAGUAAAUCCAUCGAUAUCACGACGCACAUGUAGAAUUCAUCCUUCCACCACUCGUGUAAGCAGAGCAGAGCCAGGCCAUAGAAUGAUGAUGUUGAGGCGGCGAUACUGAAGAACUGAAUGCUUUUCUACAAGCCUUUGUCACUGAUCCGAGGACAGUUAACCUCACAGUCGCUCUGCAAUCCUGCAAGGUAGCAACUUAAGUGCCAGCUGCAUAUGAAGAUCUUCUCUCGCCUCUUAUACUUGUAGUGUCGGCUACAGAUGCCAUUUGUUAAGUGAGGGCUCGUGAGAUGGCUACAAAGAGAGGAAACUGAAAAGAAGAAGAUGGAGAAAGAGGGAUAGUUAUGCGUCGUUUCCGGGCCGCAGUAGGAGCAGCUGUUUCCAGAGAAGAAUCUCUAAAUCCCUCUGUACCUGCCACGUUUAAAAACAGCAGACAGACAAAGGAAGAUACCAACUGGUGAAGAGCAAGUCAGCAGAAAAGCUAUAGUUGCUCAUUCCAGUCACACACGCUCUCUGUAAUCCCAGUGAGCACAAACAAUCAGCAAAGCCGUGCCUCUUCCAUACUUCCAGCUGCCAAUAAUGAGUGACACUGAGCAGUAUCUGGCGGCUGAUUGGCUUGUUUCUUCUGCAAACUCAUCAUCUGAAGGCCCCUCACUGCUUCACUGUGUGCACAGCCAAGGCUAGCAAGUACACCAACAAUAGCUGGCAGGUGUAGCCUCGCUGAGAAAUAAGCCAAUUGUUUAUAGUGAGACAGCUUAGUGAGAAUGGCAGAUGCACACAAACUGCUCUAAGUCCCUAGAUAUGAUUAUUCUCAAUGUGUGCAGGUGUUGAGAGGGAUAACAUGUUUAAAGACAACAACUAUUGUGUAGCAGGGAUGGAAAGAGGAGUAAAAGUAAAGUAGGUCAGUUAAAUGCACUCUUAGUAAACGUUAAUGUGUUACAUUUUUAAAAAGGGGCAGGAGGUUUAUAAUGAUUAGCAUCUAUUAAAUAAUAAAUAAAUAAAGUGCAUUAACAUGUCAAAUGGAACAAAAUCAUGAACCGCAGAGCCCUCACGUCCAAACCAACAAUGCAUUCCUGUUCCUGUAAGACAGACAUGUGCAGCCUGUGCAUAAAACAGAUUAGCAAUUUAGUUUAAUGAUAAUAACGCUGCAUAUUUUAAUUACAAUGUACAGGGACAAGCUCAACUGUGGACAAGCUAAAAAUAAGCUAUAGUGAAAAAAGUCAGUACAUAAUGCUCUGUUAUGGAACUAUAAUCAAUUAAA